ensembl:snoRNA
GUUGAGGUCUAUCCCACUGGGGCUUUUCCUGUAGCUGCAAAUGGUUGGAAACGUCUCAUAGAGUAACUUUGUGGUUUUGCUUUACUCACAGGACUGUUUGUUAGAUCUGUAGGAAGGAACUACAAGACAGUU